rnacentral:rRNA from 1 species
UACGGGGGGGGCAAGCGUUGUUCGGAAUUACUGGGCGUAAAGGGCUCGUAGGCGGCCAACUAAGUCAUACGUGAAAUCCCCCGGCUUAACCGGGGAACUGCGUCUGAUACUGGAUGGCUUGAGUUCGGGAGAGGGAUGCGGAAUUCCAGGUGUAGCGGUGAAAUGCGUAGAUAUCUGGAGGAACACCGGUGGCGAAGGCGGCAUCCUGGACCGAUACUGACGCUGAGGAGCGAAAAGCCAGGGGGAGCAAACGGGG